rnacentral:rRNA from 1 species
GUCAGAUGGGAAGAAGUGGUAUCUACCCAAUACGUGGAUACUUUGACGGUACCAUCAAAGGAAGCACCGGCUAACUCCGUGCCAGCAGCCGCGGUAAUACGGAGGGUGCAAGCGUUGUUCGGAAUUACUGGGCGUAAAGCGCGCGUAGGCGGCUAUCUAAGUCAGAUGUGAAAGCCCGCGGCUCAACCGUGGAAGUGCAUUUGAAACUG